rnacentral:rRNA from 1 species
CUACGGGGGGCUGCAGUGAGGAAUAUUGCACAAUGGGGGGAACCCUGAUGCAGCAACGCCGCGUGGAGGAUGACGCAUUUCGGUGUGUAAACUCCUUUUAUAUGUCAAGAAAAUGACGGUAGCAUAUGAAUAAGCACCGGCUAACUCCGUGCCAGCAGCCGCGGUAAUACGGAGGGUGCAAGCGUUACUCGGAAUCACUGGGCGUAAAGGACGCGUAGGCGGGUUGGAAAGUCAGGUGUGAAAUCCUACAGCUUAACUGUAGAACUGCACUUGAAACUUCUAAUCUAGAGUAUGGGAGGGAGAGAUGGAAUUAGUGGUGUAGGGGUAAAAUCCGUAGAUAUCACUAGGAACACCUAAAGCGAAGGCGAUCUCCUGGAACAUUACUGACGCUAAGGCGUGAAAGCGUGGGGAGCAAACAGGAUUAGAUACCCUAGUAGUC